UUGAUAUUCCCAGCAAUUUCCUUUUCCACCAAUCCAAGUCCAUUUGGCGUCCCCAACCCUAGCAUAAGAGAGUUGAUUAUUGGGCAAUUGUACUCGGAGUACUGUGCAGUUUCCUUGGGAGGGAUUGCAAGAAAGAACUGUUGGAAUUGAUCUCACGGUAAACAAACCAAGAGAAAAAUAAGGGAGACAAAGUCUCCACCCUCUCACGAGUGUGCCUUGAUCGGGAGCACAUAUAACAACUUUUGGUUCUGGUCCCAUGUACCCAACACACACAUAUAUAAGGAAAAAAAGGGGGUUUUGUUACUGAUAACAGAACCACAAUCAAAGCCUCCUAACUGCCGAUCCUAAACGUGUGGUGAGGUACGUGAAGACCAUCGACCACCACCGGCCGCCGUGAAGACAGUGCUGGCGGUUUCCUCCUGCCAUCGGCAAGGCUCCUGGAGCAGCUGCUGCAUCUCCACAAGUGCCUGCUGCCAUCUACGUCACCCAGGUGGUGUUGCCCUUCUUCCCCAGGCAUGUCUUCACUGUCGGAGACCCCAAGGUGCCGCCAUGGGCUAUCUCCUGCUGAUCCCUGCCAAUCACGGUUAGUCACUACUAUUCCGCAUAAGAGGUGUUCUAAUCACGAGAUCAAGAUCAUGGGUUAAUUUAAUCUAAAGGAAUUAUGUCUAACAUUGGUAUCUAGAGCAAGGUAAAUCUCGGUUAGAACCCUAACUUGGCUUCUGCUUAAUGUAAUUACUAUCAUGACGUCCAACUGUUUUUGGGUUAUUGCAAAUUGGGUGAAAUUAAGAUCUAAUGUUGUUUCUGUUAAGCACCUAAUGAGGCAUGUUUACAUGUCUAUGCCGCAAUCCGAAUGAUCACCCUUUUUAGCACUAAUCGCUUUCGGUUAAUGUUUAAAGCCUCAAGAUUAUAUAUUUUCGGCUAACCAUGUUUAAGCCCAUUGUUUUCUGUUAAAGAUGUUUAAUCAAGUUUAGUGAUCAUUUUAUCUGUUAGUUGCAAUUAGCUCUAUUUGCGGCUCAAAUCUCAGGAUGUAAAUCAGGAGGUGAUUGGGCAAACUAAUGAAAUCCCCAAUAUUCCCAAUCAACCGAAACCCAAACCCUAGAAAAAUUCCCCAAACCAGAACGCGAAAGCUGAAAUUGAGCGAAGAAAUGGAUUGGCCUUCACCUAAUGACGUCGUGCCGGUGCUCUCCUUCGGGAUCCCGACACCGGCGACGCCGCUGUCUCACGGGGAAAGAAUUGGCCGGCCACGCCGCCCUUAUGGACGCAAACGCCGUGUGGCCCCUGUGCCGCAAACGUCGUCGUCUACUCCCAAAGAUCAGGCGCCGGCGGUCGCCUCCCCAACUCGCCGUCGAGCGCCUCGUGCGCGUCGCCGGCACGGACUGCCUCCCAGCGCACCAUGAGGUCGACACGGCUAGCACCGUUCGGUGGAGGAGCGCGCGGCCUUGAGCCUGCAGGCACGCUGCUCCGACGAACGGGGCUACCGCACCGCCAUGGCCGGCGUGCCUUGGGUCGCCGCCGGGAUCGCCUCUCCUGUGGAGCCGUGGAAAUCGGGGGGAGAAGGGGAAAUGAGGCUAGG
rnacentral:lncRNA from 1 species